AUGAUCUCCUUUUAUGGGUUACCAAAGGGAGUCAAAAAAAGAUUGGACAGGCCCAGAUCGAGUUUUCUUUGGAGUGGUGAGGAAAACAAACAUAAAAAUCAUUUAGUUGCCUGGGAAAGAGUGUGCAGACCAAAAGAUUUAGGCGGUUUGGGGAUUUUGGAUUUGGAUUUUAUGAAUAUUGCUCUACUGUCCAAAUGGUUGUGGAAGCUUUUUAACGAAGAAAGCUUAUGGAAAAGAUUGUUGUGGGAUAAGUAUGUUAAAAAUUCCACACUUGGACAGAUUAAUAAAAAACAAGGUGACUCGCACUUUUGGCAGGGAUUGCUAAGGUGCAAACCUCUGUUUUUGAACUGUUGCAGAUUUAAGGUGGGGGAUGGUAAGAAGACCAGAUUUUGGGAAGAUUUAUGGCUGGGGGAACAGAGGAUAUCUGACGCGUUCCCUAGUUUAUACAAUAUUUCCCUAAAUCAACACAUUACAGUAAAUGAAGUUAUCUCCUCCAAUAUGUCUAUCCUUAGUUUUAGAAGAGCUUUGGUGGGGCAAAGAGAAACUCAAUGGCGGGACAUGACUGAACGAUGUAGAUUAGUGAAGUUAACCGAGGAGAGUGAUAAACUACACUGGAUUCCUGCCAAAACAGGGGUUUUUAGUGUGAAAUCUUUCUACUCUGUUCUUCAAAUUGGGGACAAAUGGCCUGACAGUUUUCUUUGGAAGGUUAAAAUUCCUCCGAAAAUCAAAACUUUUAUCUGGUUGAUCUUGAAUAAGAGUAUACUAACUAGAGAUGUUUUGUUGCAUAGAGGAGGGAAAUGUGAAACGAAAUGUCUUCUUUGUAAUGAAAAAGAAUCAAUAAACCACCUUUUUUUCGAUGCCCGCUUGCCAGAUAUACGUGGAACGUUGUCAGUUAUUGCACUGGAUUCAGUUGCAACUUCAGUGACAUGGACACGUGCAUGCAUGUUUGGUUAG
rnacentral:rRNA from 1 species